rnacentral:snRNA from 1 species
AUACCUUUCUCGGCCAUUUGGCUAAGAUCAAGUGUAGUAUCUGUUCUUAUCAGUUUAAUAUUUGAUAUGUGGACCAUUUGUCCACACGAUAUGAACUCUAUUUUUCGAGGGGAAGGCUCAUCAAGGUAGCUUGCUGUCUGGGCCUUCAAGGUCGCCUGAGUGUUGCACUACUGCUUUGGCCUGGCUCACCCCAC